GUGCUCCCUUUGGCAGAACAUAUAUUAAAAUUAGUACGAUAAAGAAAAGGUUAGCAUGGCCCCUGUGCAAAGAUGACAUGCAAAUUUGUGAAUCUUUCCAUAUUUUU